CAGAAUAUUAACUUUUUUAGCUUUACGAAAUUUUAAUUUAUAGUUUAAGUAAAAAUGCAUAAUUAUUUAAAAGGGACGAUNAGACCCUAUAGAAUUUGAAAAUGGGCAUGACGAAAAUCUCAUUUUUUUGUUGGGGUGACAGUAAAAAAACUUUUAUAAGAUUUUCAUUGAUGGGUGAUUUAAUGAUCCUAUAUUUAUAGAUAAAAAGAUAAAAUUACCUUAGGGAUAACAGCAUAAUUUUUUUUAAAAGAUCUUAUUAAUAAAAAAGAUUAUGACCUCGAUGUUGAAUUAAAAUAAAAUUUUGGUGUAGAAGCUAAAUUUUGUAGUCUGUUCGACUUUAUAUUUUACAUGAUUUGAGUUCAGACCGGCGUGAGCCAGGUUGGUUUCUAUCUUUUUAAGAUAU
rnacentral:rRNA from 1 species